CUCUUCGAUUGACUUGAAUAUGUUUAUGGCUAGCAUUUAUUUGAUGUACUACAACAAAUCCACUAAGUUUCAAUGGACAUACAUAGCAUCUCCCUAUUUGAAAUAAGCCAUAAGGCAUUAUAUUUGAUAUUUUAAUUAAUAUCUUAAUUAUUACAGAAAUGAUUGCACAAGUCAUGCAUUUUGACAAAUGUUGAUCUAUAUUUUCAAUAUUAACCCCAUUAAGCACCAGCGUUCUCCUCUCAAGACAGAGUAAAAAAAAUAAAAUAGGUCGCAAUGCGACUCAAUGGGUUAACUAUAAACACGGGCAAAUAGGCCAGUUAACCCAUUAAGCACCAGCGCCCUUACCUUGACAAGUAAAAUCAUCUGGUGUUAGACAGAGUAAAAUAAUAAAUUAGGGCAGAAUGCGACUCAAUGUGUUAACAACACACAUGGGCAGAUAGGCCAGUUAACCUCAUUAAGCACCAGUGCUCUCCCCUUAAUGAGUGAAAUCAUCUGGCGUUAGACAGAGUAAAAUAAUAAAUUAGGGCACAAUGCAACUCAAUGUGUUAACAACACACAUGGGCAGAUAGGCUAUAGUUAACACAUUAAGCGCCAGCGCUCUGCCCUUAAUAUUGUCCUGCGAUAGGCAGAGUAAAAUAAUAAAUUAGGCCGCAUUAGGGCACAAUGCGACUCAAUGGGUUAACUAUGUACACAUGGGCAGAUAGGCUAGUUAACACAUUAACCGCCAGUGCUCUCCCCUUGAUGAGUAAAAUUGCU